rnacentral:rRNA from 1 species
CUGCGGUGAAUACGUUCCCGGGCCUUGUACACACCGCCCGUCAAACCAUGGAAGUUGGGGGCGCCCGAAGUCGCCUAUAAAGCGCCGAAGGCGAAACCGAUGACUGGGGUU